GGAAGACAUGCUGGGGAUUGAACCCAGAACCCGGGCCUUGCACAUGCUAGGCAAUUGCUCUACACUGAGCCACACCCCCAGCCCUUUUUACUUCUUAUUUUGAGACAGUGUCUUGCUAUGUGACAGGCUGGCCUCAGACUUUUGAUCCUCUUGCCUCAGCCUCCCAAGUCACUGGGAUGACAGACGUGUGCCACCACACCUAGCACUAAAGAACAAACCUGGCAUGGUUCCAUUUAUAUGAGUGUUUAAAAUAGUCAAGCCCUUGGAAACAGGGUAGAAGGGUGGUCGUCGGGGAGCAGGGAGAGGACUUUCUGUUUGAUGGGUGCGGAGUUUCAGUCUGGGAACUGAAAAAGCUUAGGAGACGAUUGUGUGACAAUGGGAAAACCACUGAACCAUACACCCGAAAACGGAGAAAAUGACAAAUUUUAUAUGAUGCAUAUUUUACCCUGAUUUUAACUAAGGGGGUGCACAGCUUGUUUAGCAGUGGGGAAGCCUGGCCACGGAGCUGAGUCUUCCUGAGCCGGAGAACAGGCUCCAAGGUCAGGACCAGGAGGUGACAGGAGGCUGAGCCUGGCUGGCUGAGCCUUGGGUUCCAGGUUGAGAAAUUUGGGAUUAAGAUCCCCACUGAGUCACUCCUUGGGGUCAAGCCUUUGUCUCUUGGUUAAAACAAACCAUUUCUUGGGGUGGGGUAAUCCGGCACAUUAAUCCAUGGGCGACUGACAUCCUUGAGCAGGGCGCUCCUCAUGUCCUGAUGAGAAGUGCCCUGGGUCCAUGAAAUCUGGUGGUUUCUCCAUUCCCAGCUUCGGGCCCUAACUAUUCCUGGCCUCAGUUUGUUCAUCUGUAAAAUGGCACAGCAGUGGCUUUGUAUAAGGGGGAGAGUUCAUUCUAAGUACGGGUCACUCGUUUCCCUCUCCACUGCUAGAAGAAAGAGUGGUGGCUGGUCUGUUAGAAGCUGUUACAGGUGAGGGAAGUCAGGGCAAACCCCAGAGGGGCCAAUUUUUUUGUGGGGGUGGGUAGCUUCAUGUGUGCUGGACAAGUGCUCCACCACUGAACUGUGUCCCUGGCCCUUUUGUUGUUGUUGUUUAUUUUGACACAGGGUCUCACUAAGUGGCCCAGGCCGGCCUAGCGCCUGGGAUUAGCCUGCUUCUGCUUCCACAGCUGCUGGGAUUGCCGGC
rnacentral:lncRNA from 1 species